rnacentral:tRNA from 1 species
GGUGUGGUAGCUCAGUGGCAGAGCAACCGAUUGCAGCUCGGUGAGUCGGAGGUUCGAUUCCUUCCCACACUU